AGGACUUGAAAAAGAAAGAGGAGGAAUGUACCAGGGCAAAAUUAACAGCUGAACACCUGGUAGUUAGAGCACGAGAACAACGGAUGAAUGUUAGCCAUGAUCUGGAAGUGUGGGCAGCCAGGGAUAUUGUAGAGUGCUGGAGAAAUGUCUACUGGAAAGGCACAUAUACCACCUUGGCCACCUCAUACAAUAAGUGUUUACUCCUGGAAGACUGAAGUAACAAAUACAGUGCCAAGAGCAAUGCUUUCAAAGUGAAAAGAUGAGAGGUUGAAGAAGAAAUUUCAAAAAUCUGCUGGGUGCCUUGCCUCCACUUCCAUUCAAUUGGAGAGUUGCCACUAAUUUUUUUCACAUUAUUCUCCUCACUUUUCAAGGAAUGAAAUUUGCAGGCAUAUAUGGUCAUCCAGAGUGGAUUAAGCCUGCCAAAUUGUAGACAGAUGUAUUCAGGACUUUUCAUGCAGGAACACCUUUCAAUUUGAUUUAAAAAAAAAUAAAAUGGAAAAAGUCUUUUAUUUUCUGCAAGAA